AUUGAACGCUGGCGGCAUGCCUUACACAUGCAAGUCGAACGGUAACGCGGGGCAACCUGGCGACGAGUGGCGAACGGGUGAGUAAAGCAUCGGAACGUGCCCAGUAGUGGGGGAUAGCCCGGCGAAAGCCGGAUUAAUACCGCAUACGACCUAUGGGUGAAAGGGGGGGAUCGCAAGACCUCUCGCUAUUGGAGCGGCCGAUGUCAGAUUAGGUAGUUGGUGGGGUAAAGGCCUACCAAGCCGACGAUCUGUAGCUGGUCUGAGAGGACGACCAGCCACACUGGGACUGAGACACGGCCCAGACUCCUACGGGAGGCAGCAGUGGGGAAUUUUGGACAAUGGGCGCAAGCCUGAUCCAGCCAUGCCGCGUGCGGGAAGAAGGCCUUCGGGUUGUAAACCGCUUUUGUCAGGGAAGAAAUCCUUUGGGUUAAUACCUCGGGGGGAUGACGGUACCUGAAGAAUAAGCACCGGCUAACUACGUGCCAGCAGCCGCGGUAA
rnacentral:rRNA from 1 species